UAUCCUCUGGAAGCUUGCGCACUCUGAUUAAUGGGAGGGCUUGCUGCACUGUUUGCACAGGACAUUUCAGCCACACUACACACAACUUUGGGGAAUUUGGGGAGUUUUCUGAAGUGCCCUCUGCGGAGUUAGAAGUCAAAGGGUCAGCAGAAGGUCUCUGUCUGCUGAAUAAUGCAGCAUGUCAGCCUGACUAGCGCCGAUUGGUCGUGUCACUGCUCUGGAUCUUCUCCAAAAGCUCUGGGAUGGGAUGCUGCUGCUGGAGAUGAGAAUCCAAGAGGUCUACAGUCUGUGAAAACAAACUGCUAUGGGGGGUGUGUGUGUGUGUGUGUGUGUGUGUGUGUGGAGGAUGUUGAGAGUCAAUCAUAAAGGGUGGGGGAUGUGGGGAGUGAUGUUUCCAUUAAGGGUUCUCAGCUCUUUUAUUUCCACAGGCUCUGAUAACGCCAUCUGCAUCUGUACUAGGUAAGAGUCCGAUUCAGAGUGAACAGCAGCCACUAAGGGGGAACGGCACAGAACCUACCGUUUCAGUGUUCUUUAUAAAACUGUGUUUGAGAUGCAUUUUCAAACAGUAGCCUCACCUAUAAAAUCAACACACCCAGUGAAGUGUACACACACACACACACUUCACAAUACAUUGCAGCUUCAAAGCUUAGUCAAGUUGAGGGUGCUGCACCCAGCAUUGUUAUAACCCUUCUUGUUGGCCCAAGCCUUUAAGUUUAAUGGAGGGAUGACCAAAUACAUUCCUGCUGUUCAACAGCGGUCCCUCCCAAAAGAGAGCAGACGGUGCUUGCGUAAGACUUACAUAAUGUCUGCCAAUGAAAGAUGUGCACUGCCUUAACAGAUCACUGACCGUGGACCUGAAAGGCCUGUGUUAUAUAAGGCAGGGUACCUUUAGCUAUAAGGAGACUUGAAAUAUAUAAGGGUCAUUCCAUACCAACUCAUCUACGACUUCCCUGUUCAAGUCAUGGAUUUUCUUAAAAAGAAUACAUUUUUCACUGGAUUGGGUUGAAAUUUGUACUGAACAUCCUAGAAACCCCACGAUUCAUUUGCAACAUGUAUUUGUGUAAAUAGCUGUUACUGAAUGUUUUAUAGUAACCAUAGUAAUACAAAUAUCUUUUGAGUCAAAUGAAAAAUCUCAAAUGGUCAAAAAAAUGUAUUUAAAUCAUCAAUAGUUUUCACUUUCUUGCAACCAAAUUUAGAUUCUGGUGUAGUAUUAGUACAGUGCUAUCACAUCUAGAAAUUGAGUGCCACAGAUCUUGCUGAAUACAGCUUCGGAGCUAAAAAAAAGUUAUUUUUACUGUAUAUUUUCCCAAGAAAGAUUUUUGUAUUAUUAUUAUUAUUUCCUUUAAACAUUUUUAAUGGGAACAUGUUAACAUUGGUUAUUGGUCAAUACAGUGAAAUAUGGUGGAGUGAGUAGUGUGGACAUUCAGUAAUGCCAAAGGCAUGCCAAACUGGUGAAGCAUGGGCCAAAGUUGGAUUCUUUAGCAGAGACACACACACACACACACACACUUCCAAAAGCUAAUAAAACUGUCCGACAAACUAUUCACACGUGCUAUGAACUGUUAAGCAGUACAGCAAAGCAGCUAAUUGUGCUUGUGUGUGCCAGCUUAAGAGAUCCCAUUAGUCAUUUAUCUGAGGUCACUUUUACUGCACAGAAAUCUCACUUGAGACGUCUUCACAGACACAUCCACUACUAACGCAUCACUACACAUCCCCACCGAAGACAACAUUGGAGAACUAAACUAUUUUCAGCCUCAUCUACGGCGUGCAGAUUUCCAUUCACUAGCUCAACUGCCUGGAUGCCUAUUCUAAUCAUCGGCCUGGAACGUCAACGGAGUACAUUCUGUGUGUGAUUUGGCGUUAAUGACCUGUAAAUCCUCACAACAGUUUUUGUUGCAGGCCGAAGAGGCAGCCAGCAGCCAAUCAGAUUACAAUGAAAGGUCAUAACAGACAUGGACACUGUUGUUGUGAGGAAGAUUAAACACCAACCGUGAGAUGCUGAACACCUUCUACAGAACUAUGCUUCAAAAUAAGGCAACUUUACCCGCAACACUAACAUUUACUGCCUGCCCAAACCAAUGUACCCAUCAAAACCACAGUUCCAACAUGUUUGCCAGGCAAGGGCCCAGUUUGAAUAUGGAUUAAGCCCAAACCAGGGAUUUAAUCUAACUCUGUUCAUUAGAAUCACAAUGUGAGCACAGCAACAGACAUUCGAGCGGGCACCAUAGAUUGCUUUAAACCCACUGAUGCGUUUAAUUCCAGAAGGCUGUGAUUUGCACUGAACACACACACCCAUAGGCUCUAUACACCAUGCCUGCAGAUCAGGGAGAACCAGCCUGGUCACAGAUUGUCAAUGUCAAAGUCAUUUAUAUCACUGAUGGCUGAAAAAAAUAAAUCACAAUAGAAGUAGGAGAACCAAUGAGGCUAAUCCAGAUAAAUGAAAGGAAACCAGAAAAAGAUCGCAAGCCAGACUUUCUUUAUUUGUGGUAAUUUGGUGAUGGAAAAAAUAUUUUCAAGAACAUUCUCAAGACUCUUCAUAACUCAUUUUAUGUGUUCCUGUGUUAGCGAUAUGCCCACUUAAAAUGUAUAUAUGGUCCAAUCAGGUCAUGUGAAGGCAGGCAUCAUAUUCCUCCGUCACCGAUUCAGUUAUUCUUUUUACGAUGUGUUGAAUGGCCAUUUGAAUCAUAACAGUCCAGUAGUCAGUCAGUCACAGGAGUCACUUCAGAGCAAUGACCUAACAAGUGCCCAAUUGGCAGAGACAAGUGCCAUCAUAUGGCAGCCUUAUUGAUUUGGGUAGAGAGAUGUGCGCCCCACACCAGACAUCGAAAAAGUGAGAAAAUUGCAGCCUAGAGAUUGUCUGUGAUGACACCACCCACAACACAAGGUUAGUAAUUAACUUGCAACUGAUGCUGAUGAUGUUGCAUGGUUUGAAUUAUUUGCUUAACGUUAUGAGGUUUAAAGCCACUGUAUCAUGAAAAGAGGAAUCAUAUUCAAACGGUGUGCUCACUGUGUGCCGUAGUGCUACAGAAAAAUCAUGAUCCUAAGCUUUAUCUCCAUACCGAAAUCUUAGUUGGCCAGAUGUGAUUCAUCUUUUCUGAAGCAUUAACAUUUUGGUGUCUUGGACACCGCGACACUGGAGGCUGUAGUGUAUGUACACCUUGACUUUUUAAAAGUAUAGCUUAAAGGUGUGCUAUAAACGAACAGUGCUAAUAAAAGGCUGUUAAGCCGAGAUGAAUUCUUGUUUUUACAUGUAACUCUAAUGCCAGUUCUUAUUUUGGGUUUCUUUAUAACAGAUUGGCUUAUCGCAAGAAACGGACAACAACAAAGUAACUUUGGUUUGGUCUUGGCAGCAGUCAAGCAGAAGUCUUACCCUCCUCGCUUAUUCAAAACUAACUUGGCUUGCUUGCUUGUCCAGUACAUCCUCAUAGAAAGCUCUAAAGUAAGCUGUGGGCAAUAAGUGAUUAUUUAAACUGAAGGCAUAUGUGUCUCUACACUUAAGACAAAGUGUUAUGUUUUUUUUUUCCAAAGCAUGUGACUGGGGAAUCCAUCAUGAGCCGAGGGCAAAGGAGCCAUACACAGAGCGCACUGGUGCCGUUACCCAGGAGAGAGAGGAGACUGUUCCUGUCUGACAGCAGCCUGCCUGGUGGAUCUCCAGAUGGGAUAGUACUUGGUAGGGCUGAACGAUUAAUUGCAUUUGCGAUUUAAUCGCGAUAUGAUAGAACGCGAUUUUCUAACCGCAACGUUCGCGAUAAAAAAAACGUGGUCUUAAAAAAAAAAAAAAAAAAAAUGAUUUGUUGUUCUUGUUUCUGUAAUGAGCAGUUAAAUAAAGAUGUAAAAUGUGGGAAAGAAUAUUUUACACUAAAUGUAUCUAAUAUUGUGUUGGUCAUAUUUAAAUCAUUCAUUACGUUUUGUUGGGGAAAAAAGAGGUUAAAAAAAAAAUCGCAUAUUAAAUCGCAAUCGCAAUAUUUUGGUAAAAAAAAUCGCAAUUAGAUUAUUUUCCCAAAUCGUUCAGCCCUAGUACUUGGUGACUGCAUCAUUGAGGUGAAGUGUCCAUUGUCAGCGAGAAACCAAGACUAUCCUGCAAGCAGCAGAGAGUAGGAACUUCUGGAGUUAGAUGAAGUGAUUAGUUCCCUAAACAAACUCAUAACUACUGGCAUCAGAUCCAGGGAAACCUACACCAGACCAGAGCUAACAGUUGUCACCUAAUUACAUGGACUCCUCUUGGCCUUGUCAUCCUGCCAGUGCUCAAAGACCCAACAUGGGCUGUUAACAUUGGACACUCUGGAUUUGAAAUAAUUUCACCUUCUGUCACCUAUCCUUCUGUCACAAUUGUAAGUUAAUAGCUGCACUGGUACACACCCUGCAUUCAUGAUCUAUAUUAAUGUCCUUUGAAUUAAUUGUGACUUAUAAUAAAUAAAUAUUUGUUUAGGAACCUGGACACAACACCUGGGAGUCUUUGGGGCAGUUUGGCAGGUGACAAUGUAGUGAACCAUAGCAGAAGUAUGGCCAGUACAGGCUGCACAGUGCAGCCUCAGAGAAACUAGUCAACUGUCUGGGGAAAACAUGUACCAACACUGUACUGCAGUGCAUGACACCUUACAUACAAACUUCUACACAUUACUGAACUCUACAAAAUCCCCUGUAAACAUGGCCAUAGUUAAAGCGACCCUGUUAUGCUUUUCCGUUUUUUUCCCUUUCCUUUAGUGCGUUACAUAGCUCCUGUGCAUGAGAACCGUCUGCAACGUUACAAAAGUCCAAAGUACGGGCCAAAGGGAGUAACUCUCUCCCGCAGAAACCACAUUCUAAGCUGCCUGAAACACCUUAUAGAAAUUCCAGUCUUUUCCUGUAACAUGAUGAUGCAAUCUUGUAACACAAUCCUUAUUGCCCAAUGAUUAUGUUAUUGGCCGCGGAGCUGACCAAUCAGAGCACACUAGACUCAUCGGGAGAGGGGGGCGUAAAGACAGAUAAAGGGUGAAGUAGCUGAUGUUAAAGUCUCGUCAACUCAUAAAAUUAUAAUGGCUGACGCUAGCAGCUGCCAACUGUUAAGAUGGUUCCCUAGGCUAGAUAUAGCCAUCAAAGGAUAGUUAAAAAGCUCUGAUAGGUAGAAACCCAUUGGGAGCCUGUGUAGCACCAUAUUAACACAAGUUCACAUUCAUUUCAUAUCAAAAACUAUUCAUAUUACACACGGUAGCAACUACCAACCGUUAAGAUUGCUAUUUAGCUUAGGGGACUGUAGGUGUGUAGCCUUGACAUCAAUCAAGUUCCUAUCUGUUUGUGUGGCAAUAGCCAUUAACAGCUCGAGAUGACUGCGCUGAAUGAAGCACGCAAACACACACACGAGAAAGCAGGAUGUUAUUCACUUGAGGCUCCUGCAUGGCAGACGCCCAGGGGUUUAACAACAGCAAUCAGGGCCAGACUCACAAGGGUGUAGUCCAACAACAAAACAAAGACAAAGCUUGUGACUUUUACACACACACACACACACACACACACACACACACACACACACACACAC
ensembl:lncRNA